GUCCUCGUAGCGCAAUAGUUAGCAUUUGAUGUUUUUCAGCGUUUGAUUUUCCAGCAUAUCUUUAAGACAGCGAGAGACGUCGGUUCGAACCCGACCGGGGACA